GGUGCAGGCCGGUUUGUCGCUGCUCCCUGCUUUGUCGGGGAGAAGAGGAAAGUCCGGGCAACGCAGAGCGCCAUACUUCCUAACGGGAAGGUGCCUGCUUAGGAAUGAGCAGGCAACAGACAGUGCCACAGAAAAUAUACCGUCCUCGAACCGGAAAUCGGUUCUUGGAUAAGGGUGAAAUGGUGGAGUAAGAGCCCACCGGGUGAGGGGUGACCGUCACCGCAUGGCAAACCUUAUGGGUUGAAAGACCAAAUAGGCUCCGGUCCAAGGGCUGCUCGUCCAAUCCCGGUCAACGGGAAACCGGAGUGGGUAGGUCGUUUGAUCUUUUCUGUGAAGAAAAGGCUAGAUAAAUGACAAACACUUUGAAAAAAGUACAGAACCCGGCUUACAGGCCUGCACAUUUU
rnacentral:RNase_P_RNA from 1 species